rnacentral:rRNA from 1 species
CAUUAUUGAAUAUUCUUGAUGGGUUGUAGCUGGCUCUUCGGGGCAUGUGCACGCCUGUCUUGACUUUAUUCAUCCACCUGUGCACCUUUUGUAGUCUUGGGGGUUGAGAGCGGUCGACUAUCGGAUGGCUGUUAUGGCCUUUCCGGAUGUGAGGAAUUGCUGAGUGCAAAAGCAUACAGCUCUUCUCAAAACGACUUGCAACACCUCUCCUUCAAGUACUAUGUAUUCAUAUACCACAUAGUAUGUUGUAGAAUGUGAUCAAUGGGCUUAUAUGCCUAUAAUAAUCAUAUACAACUUUCAGCAACGGAUCUCUUGGCUCUCGCAUCGAUGAAGAACGCAGCGAAAUGCGAUAAGUAAUGUGAAUUGCAGAAUUCAGUGAAUCAUCGAAUCUUUGAACGCACCUUGCGCUCCUUGGUAUUCCGAGGAGCAUGCCUGUUUGAGUGUCAUUAAAUUCUCAACCCCUCCAGCUUUUGCGAGCUGCGAUGGGGCUUGGAUGUUGGGAGUUUGCGGGCCUUUAUUAAUAGAGGUCGGCUCUCCUAAAAUGCAUUAGCGGAACCGUUUGCAGUCCCGUCACUAGUGUGAUAAUUAUCUACACUGUGAUGAUUGCUCUCUGACUAGUUCAGCUGCUAAUCGUCCCCUGUCGGACAAUGUUUAAUGAACUUCUUGACCUCAAAUCAGGUAGGACUACCCGCUGAACUUAAGCAUAUCAAUAAGCGGAGGAAAAGAAACUAACAAGGAUUCCCCUAGUAACUGCGAGUGAAGCGGGAAAAGCUCAAAUUUAAAAUCUGGCGGUCUCUGGCCGUCCGAGUUGUAAUCUAGAGAAAUGAUGCCCGCGCUGGACCGUGUACAAGUCUCCUGGAAUGGAACGUCAUAAAGGGUGAGAAUCCCGUCUCUGACCCGGACUACCAGGGCUUUGUGGUAUGCUCUCAAAGAGUCGAGUUGUUUG